rnacentral:rRNA from 1 species
UACGGAGGGGCUAGCGUUGUUCGGAAUUACUGGGCGUAAAGCGCACGUAGGCGGAUCAGCAAGUUAGGGGUGAAAUCCCGGGGCUCAACCCCGGAACUGCCUUUAAAACUGUUGGUCUGGUGAGGUCGAGAGAGGUGAGUGGAAUUCCGAGUGUAGAGGUGAAAUUCGUAGAUAUUCGGAGGAACACCAGUGGCGAAGGCGGCUCACUGGCUCGAUACUGACGCUGAGGUGCGAAAGCCAGGGAGCAAACGGG